GACGAACCGUGCGAACGUUGUUCGGAAUCACUGGGCUUAAAGGGCGCGUAGGCGGGCUGCCAAGUCUGUGGUGAAAUCCUCCAGCUUAACUGGAGAACUGCCGUGGAUACUGGCGGCCUCGAGGUGAUAGGGUUGGUGGAACUGUGCGUGGAGCGGUGAAAUGCGUUGAUAUGCACAGGAACUCCGGUGGCGAAGGCGGAUCUCUGGGCCUUACCUGACGCUGAGGCGCGAAGCUAGGAGCGAACAGG
rnacentral:rRNA from 1 species